AGCUUAUCUUGCGCAGCUUAGGUGGGAGGCUAUGAACCUUUUCUUCUGGGAAGAGGGGAGCCAUCAGUGAGAUACCACUCUUGGUAAGCUAGAGCGCUCAGUCUUCACCGUCAUCCGGUAAGACGACAGUUUCAGGCGGGCAGUUUGACUGGGGCAGUCACCUCCCAAAAGGUAAUGGAGGUGUGCAAAGGUUCCCUCAGGCUGGACGGAAAUCAGCCAUAGAGUGUAAAAGCAUAAGGGAGCUUGACUGCGAGACUGACAUGUCAAGCAGAGACGAAAGUCGGCUUUAGUGAUCCGACGGUGCUGUGUGGAAAGGCCGUCGCUCAACGGAUAAAAGUUACUCUAGGGAAAC
rnacentral:rRNA from 1 species